GAUGAACGCUGGCGGCGUGCCUAACACAUGCAAGUCGAGCGAAAACACGAGGAGCUUUCUCCUCUGACGUUAGCGGCGGACGGAUGAGUAACACGUGGAUAACCUACCUAUAAGACUGGGAUAAUAACGGGAAACCAGAUCUAAUACCGCAUCAUAUAUCGAACCGCAUGGUUCAAUAGUGAAAGACGGUUUUGCUGAUACUUAUAGACGGAUCCGCGCCGCAUUAGCUAGUUGGUAAGGUAACGGCUUACCAAGGCAACGAUGCGUAGCCGACCUGAGAGGGUGAUCAGCCACACUGGAACUGAGACACGGUCCAGACUCCUACGGGAGGCAGCAGUAGGGAAUCUUCCGCAAUGGGCGAAAGCCUGACGGAGCAACGCCGCGUGAGUGAUGAAGGUCUUCGGAUCGUAAAGCUCUGUUAUUAGGGAAGAACAAAAGUGUAUGUAACUAUGCACGUCUUGACGGUACCUAAUCAGAAAGCCACGGCUAACUACGUG
rnacentral:rRNA from 1 species